rnacentral:rRNA from 1 species
UACGAAGGGGGCUAGCGUUGCUCGGAAUCACUGGGCGUAAAGAGCACGUAGGCGGCUUUCUAAGUCAGGGGUGAAAUCCUGGAGCUCAACUCCAGAACUGCCUUUGAUACUGGAGAGCUUGAGUCCGGGAGAGGUGAGUGGAACUCCGAGUGUAGAGGUGAAAUUCGUAGAUAUUCGGAAGAACACCAGUGGCGAAGGCGGCUCACUGGCCCGGUACUGACGCUGAGGUGCGAAAGCGUGGGGAGCAAACAGG